rnacentral:rRNA from 1 species
UAUGGAGAGUUUGAUCCUGGCUCAGAGUGAACGCUGGCGGCGUGCCUAAUACAUGCAAGUCGAACGAUGAAGCUUCUAGCUUGCUAGAAGUGGAUUAGUGGCGCACGGGUGAGUAAGGUAUAGUUAAUCUGCCCUACACAAGAGGACAACAGUUGGAAACGACUGCUAAUACUCUAUACUCCUGCUUAACACAAGUUGAGUAGGGAAAGUUUUUCGGUGUAGGAUGAGACUAUAUAGUAUCAGCUAGUUGGUGAGGUAAUGGCUCACCAAGGCUAUGACGCUUAACUGGUCUGAGAGGAUGAUCAGUCACACUGGAACUGAGACACGGUCCAGACUCCUACGGGAGGCAGCAGUAGGGAAUAUUGCGCAAUGGGGGAAACCCUGACGCAGCAACGCCGCGUGGAGGAUGACACUUUUCGGAGCGUAAACUCCUUUUCUUAGGGAAGAAUUCUGACGGUACCUAAGGAAUAAGCACCGGCUAACUCCGUGCC